UACGUAGGGACCAAGCGUUGUUCGGAUUUACUGGGCGUAAAGGGCGCGUAGGCGGCAAUUCAAGUCAGCUGUGAAAUCUCCGAGCUUAACUCGGAACGGUCAGCUGAUACUGUUUUGCUAGAGUACAGAAGGGGCAAUCGGAAUUCUUGGUGUAGCGGUGAAAUGCGUAGAGAUCGGGAGGAACAUCUGUGGCGAAGGCGGCCAUCUGGACCAGCACUGACACUGAGGCACGAAAGCGUGGGGAGCAAACAGG
rnacentral:rRNA from 1 species